UUACCCCGUUGAACCUUAGCAUAUUCAUAAGGCGGAGGUAAAAGAAAUCAACAGGGAUUUGCCCUAGUAACGAGAGUGAAGCGGCACAGCUCAAUUUUGAAAUCUGGCUCUUCAGAGUCCGAGUUGUAAUUGGCAGAGGGCGCUUUGGUUGGGCAGCGGUCCAAGUUCCUUGGAACAGGACGUCACAGAGGAUGAGAAUCCCGUACGUGGUCGCUAGCUAUUGCAGUGUAAAGCCCCUUCGACGAGUCGAGUUGUUUGGGAAUGCAGCUCUAAAUGGGAGGUAAAUUUCUUCUAAAGCUAAAUAUUGGCCAGAGACCGAUAGCGCACAAGUAGAGUGAUCGAAAGAUGAAAAGCACUUUGGAAAGAGAGUCAAACAGCACGUGAAAUUGUUGAAAGGGAAGCGCUUGCAGCCAGACUUGCUUGCAGUUGCUCAUCCGGGCUUUUGCCCGGUGCACUCUUCUGUAGGCAGGCCAGCAUCAGUUUGGGCGGUGGGAUAAAGGUCUCUGACACGUUCCUUCCUUCGGGUUGGCCAUAUAGGGGAGACGACAUACCACCAGCCUGGACUGAGGUCCGCGCAUCUGCUAGGAUGCUGGCGUAAUGGCUGUAAGCGGCCCGUCUUGAAACACGGACCAAGGAGUCUAACAUCUAUGCGAGUGUUUGGGUGUCAAGCCCGAACGCGUAAUGAAAGUGAACGGAGGUGGGAACCCGCAAGGGCGCACCAUCGACCGAUCCUGAAGUUUACGGAAGGAUUUGAGUAAGAGCAUGGCUGUUGGGACCCGAAAGAUGGUGAACUAUGCUUGAAUAGGGUGAAGCCAGAGGAAACUCUGGUGGAGGCUUGCAGCGGUUCUGACGUGCAAAUCGAUCGUCAAAUUUGGGCAUAAGGGCGAAAGGAAUAUACAAACCUUCUUGUCCUCUUCGC
rnacentral:rRNA from 1 species